AAUGAGAUGUCUGAUUUAAGGUGAUAAAUUGUAAAUUUAUUUAAGGUGUUAUUCAUCUCUCAUUA
rnacentral:tRNA from 1 species